AAACCACUUGUCUCUGUGAUGACCUCACAGUCUCAGAUCUGUGAUGAAAUAAUAGCUGUCUGUUUAAGAAUCAGGAGAUUAUACAAGUCCUAUUCUCUCAUCAAAGGCUGGGAAGUUGUACUUUAAUAUUUAGCUAUAAAUAUAAAUGCCAUAUACAAUGCUUUAAAAAUAGAAGGAAAAUUGACUGUAUUCCUCCGAAACUACUUCAAUAACAAAAUUCUUCCUUUUAAGAAGCUUCACAGAAGGAAUGUUAAUAGACCUGCUAUACAGACCAUGAAAAUGAAUACUUGUGAUGCCCAGCAGGAGCAAGUCUCAGGCUGAGGGCCAGGAGACUGGGACCUGGAUGUUCUUGAUCCUGAAUUCUUUUGGCAUCAAGAGCUCUUUCCUUUGAGCGUAACCUCUGCUGAGUAGCUGGGCUCCCAGACUCAGUUUUCAGUUUUUCAAUCUGUCCACAAAGGAAGAAUGUGAGAAGAGAUUAGAAAGAACAUCAUAUUCUCAUAAGCACUUAAGAACGGUUCUUUGUAUAGCUUUCACACUGAAGCUGAAGGUACUGCAGAUAGAAGACUGACUGGUGUGAAGCCCUCCUGACCUUUCCAGCCUGUGCUCUGCUGCCCCAUCACCACGUGCUAAAGGAUCCUGAAGGCUCCUUUCAAAAAAGAAGCAUUGCUUCAUUAUACUAGGUGUAUCUUUAAGACUUGAACACAAACAGAAAAAUAAAAGACUGGAAAUGACAUGGUUCAUAAUAUUCCACUACAAAGAAAUACAAUUUCCUAAAGGUCACAUAGUGUAACCCUCCUGGCUUGAGGCCUGUCUCUCAUAACCACACCUCUCUGCCCACCUCCUGCUAUUUGUCAUGCCUCGCUCCUGGUUCCAGUUACAUCGGAAGUCCCACUUCUACAGAGCCCAAAAGAAGUCACUGAUUGGGCUGGCAUGCUGAUGAACUUGUGGGAUGGGUUUUGUCUCACCUAUUCUGUUGGCUUGUAACAAAGAAUUAUUAAAGGUCAGAGUGGCUGAGCGAUCACGA